GUCCCUUGGAAAGUGGUGGUCGAGCCACCUCGGUAGUUGGACGAGCUGGCUUCGUUAGGACAGCGGAGGUCGGUAUGGCAUCACUGUCUAUAAUAAUGGCCUCGGAUGAUGAUCGGGGGGCCGCUGACUUCGAAGGGGCAGCCUCCUUAGCCUUCUUAGAAGCAGGGGCAGCAGUAGGUUGAUCGGUUUGAGUCUUCCUUUUCUUGACCUCCGUCAACCUCU
rnacentral:lncRNA from 1 species